AUACGGAGGGUGCGAGCGUUAAUCGGAAUUACUGGGCGUAAAGCGUGCGUAGGCGGUUUGCUAAGUCAGAUGUGAAAGCCCCGGGCUUAACCUGGGAACUGCAUUUGAUACUGGCAGACUAGAAUAUGAUAGAGGGGGGUAGAAUUCCUGGUGUAGCGGUGAAAUGCGUAGAUAUCAGGAGGAAUACCAGUGGCGAAGGCGGCCCCCUGGAUCAAUACUGACGCUGAGGUACGAAAGCGUGGGGAGCGAACAGGAUUAGAAACCCCAGUAGUCC
rnacentral:rRNA from 1 species